rnacentral:rRNA from 1 species
CGAACGAUGAACCCGCUUGCGGGGGAUUAGUGGCGAACGGGUGAGUAACACGUGAGUAACCUGCCCUUAACUCUGGGAUAAGCCUUGGAAACGGGGUCUAAUACUGGAUAUUGACUUUACCUCGCAUGGGGUUUUGUUGAAAGAUUUAUUGGUUUUGGAUGGACUCGCGGCCUAUCAGCUUGUUGGUGAGGUAAUGGCUCACCAAGGCGACGACGGGUAGCCGGCCUGAGAGGGUGACCGGCCACACUGGGACUGAGACACGGCCCAGACUCCUACGGGAGGCAGCAGUGGGGAAUAUUGCACAAUGGGCGAAAGCCUGAUGCAGCGACGCCGCGUGAGGGAUGACGGCCUUCGGGUUGUAAACCUCUUUCAGUAGGGAACAAGGCCAGCAUUUUUGUUGGUUGAGG